rnacentral:rRNA from 1 species
CAGCAGCCGCGGGAAUACAGAGGGUGCGAGCGUUAAUCGGAUUUACUGGGCGUAAAGCGUGCGUAGGCGGCUUUUUAAGUCGGAUGUGAAAUCCCUGAGCUUAACUUAGGAAUUGCAUUCGAUACUGGGAAGCUAGAGUAUGGGAGAGGAUGGUAGAAUUCCAGGUGUAGAGGUGAAAUUCGUAGAUAUUGGGAAGAACACCGGUGGCGAAGGCGGCAACCUGGUCCGAUACUGACGCUGAGGCGCGAAAGCGUGGGGAGCAAACAGGAUUAGAUACCCGAGUAGUCCCUGUCUCUUAUAA